AUUGAACGCUGGCGGCAGGCCUAACACAUGCAAGUCGAACGAGUGGCGGACGGGUGAGUAAUGUCUGGGAAACUGCCCGAUGGAGGGAGUUAACUACUGGAAACGGUAGCUAAUACCGCAUACCAUCGGAUGUGCCCAGAUGGGAUUCGCUGGUAGGUGGGGUAACGGCUCACCGAGGCGACGAUCCCUAGCUGGUCUGAGAGGAUGACCGGCAGCACUGGAACUGAGACACGGUCCGGACUCCUCAGGGAGGCAGCAGUGGGGAAUAUGGCACAAUGGGCGCAAGCCUGAUGCAGCCAUGCCGCGGGUAUGAAGAAGGCCUUCGGGUUGUAAAGUACUUUCGGAGGGGAGGCGUUACCCGCAGAGGAAGCGCAGGAUGACUCCGUGCCAGCAGCCGCGGUAAUUC
rnacentral:rRNA from 1 species